GACGAACGCUGGCGGCGUGCCUAAUACAUGCAAGUAGAACGCUGAAGGAGGAGCUUGCUUCUCUGGAUGAGUUGCGAACGGGUGAGUAACGCGUAGGUAACCUGCCUGGUAGCGGGGGAUAACUAUUGGAAACGAUAGCUAAUACCGCAUAAUAGUAGAUGUUGCAUGACAUUUGCUUAAAAGGUGCAAUUGCAUCACUACCAGAUGGACCUGCGUUGUUUUAGCUAGUUGGUGGGGUAACGGCUCACCAAGGCGACGAUACAUAGCCGACCUGAGAGGGGGAUCGGCCCCACUGGGACUGAGACACGGCCCAGACUCCUACGGGGAGGCGCAGGAGGGAAUCUUCGGCAAUGGACGGAAGUCUGACCGAGCAACGCCGCGGGAGGGAAGAAGGGUUUCGGGUCGUAAAGCUCUGUUGUAAGAGAAGAACGAGUGUGAGAGUGGAAAGUUCACACUGUGACGGUAUCUUACCAGAAAGCGACGGCUAACUACGUG
rnacentral:rRNA from 1 species